rnacentral:rRNA from 1 species
GACGAACGCUGGCGGCGUGCUUAACACAUGCAAGUCGAACGGAAAGGCCCUGCUUUUGUGGGGUGCUCGAGUGGCGAACGGGUGAGUAACACGUGAGUAACCUGCCCUUGACUUUGGGAUAACUUCAGGAAACUGGGGCUAAUACCGGAUAGGAGCUCCUGCUGCAUGGUGGGGGUUGGAAAGUUUCGGCGGUUGGGGAUGGACUCGCGGCUUAUCAGCUUGUUGGUGGGGUAGUGGCUUACCAAGGCUUUGACGGGUAGCCGGCCUGAGAGGGUGACCGGCCACAUUGGGACUGAGAUACGGCCCAGACUCCUACGGGAGGCAGCAGUGGGGAAUGUUGCACAAUGGGCGGAAGCCUGAUGCAGCAACGCCGCGUGCGGGAUGACGGCCUUCGGGUUGUAAACCGCUUUCGCCUGUGACGAAGCGUGAGUGACGGUAAUGGGUAAAGAAGCACCGGCUAACCACGUG